rnacentral:rRNA from 1 species
UACAGAGGUCUCAAGCGUUGUUCGGAUUCAUUGGGCGUAAAGGGUGCGUAGGCGGCGCGGUAAGUCGGGCGUGAAAUCUCGGAGCUUAACUCCGAAACUGCAUUCGAUACUGCCGUGCUUGAGGACUGGAGAGGAGACUGGAAUUUACGGUGUAGCGGUGAAAUGCGUAGAUAUCGGAAGGAAGACCAGUGGCGAAGGCGGGUCUCUGGACAGUUCCUGACGCUGAGGCACGAAGGCGAGGGGAGCAAACGGG